GACCUAGCUAUGCCCCGCCCGAAGCAGCAUCCUCCUGAUCCUUCGGGUUCUUUCGGAAGCUGCCCUCCAGGGUGAAGUCGCGUUCGCUCUCCCAUCAACACAUUUAUUUUUCUGCCCGACUCUCGCGCGUGCGCACUGACACCCCCAGAACGGCCCUGAAAUGAAAACAUCUUGAGAGAGGGGGAGGGACCCCAAGCCGCUGUAGGCCAGGUCAGUGAGGCUACCCACACAGCCCGAGGUGGCUGCUGCCGGAAGCGGUCUCCAAAACAGGAAUUGUAGGACCAAAAAGUCUCGUGAGGUCCCACCGAGAUUUGAACUCGGAUCGCUGGAUUCAAAGUCCAGAGUGCUAACCAUUACACCAUGGGACCUGCUGGCUUCUUAAGGCGGCCGCGAGUCUCCUCAAGCUAGGAGGGCUCUGGGCGGCCUUUCCAGAGCGGCAGCGGUGUCCGUGUUUGAGGGACUGGGCCCUGGACCGGGGCCCCACGGGCGGCGUGGCGAGGGCUUCUGCGUCCUUCGUGUUCCCGGCGUUUCUGGUCCCGGGGAUAUCAUGUCUUCCUGCGCUCCUCCGGGGGCUGGGAGGUCGGAAAGGCAGCAGGCUGGCGGGGUUGGCGAUGUGGGGCCGGACUGGGUCCAGGGAAAGCCUGCUCCAACCCCAGCUCCAGGGCAGGAGGCGCGGCGCACGGAGCCUGGGUUGUUUAUUUAUUUAUUUACGUGGGGAGUGCCUUAGAAAAGGUAUUUUGGCCAAGCGGGAAGGGAAGCGGACUAGCAUGUGGGGAACAACGGUUCAAACCCCAGGCGCCCCAGGGACGCGCGUAACGGAGACUUUGAAAUUGCGCCCCCAGCCUGACUGCGUCGGUGCGAGUCCUACUGUUUCACGUGGCUGGAGCUCACGAGAAAACCGUUCUAAAGUUUCGCCUCCACAUGCGUGUGUGCCUAAUUAAAAACCACCAGGUGGGACUGCUGAGAUAACACUCAGAUACCCUUCCUUGCUGGGCGAUUAUCCUUAACUUUAGGAUUAAAUCAGAUCAGUGGAAAAGACACUCCCCUCUGGGCUCUCUCCCCCAUUUUAGUGAGCGUGUAUGUAAACGGAAGUUUCUGCAGGUCAAUCUGGCUACAUUAAAUUUUUACACGCCAUUUGACUCAGCAGUUUCAUCUUUGAGACUUUAACCUACGGAAACACCAAGGCAAGUGCCAAGACGUAUGUUCCAGGAUGUUCUCAGCUGUG
rnacentral:lncRNA from 1 species